GCUGGGUGGAAUGGCGUAUGCUCCUGUUGUUCCCAACUACCCAAGAGGCUGAGGUGGGAGGAUCACCUGAGCCCAGGAGUUCUGGGUUGUAGUGGGUUAUGCCAAUCAGGUAGGUGUCCAUGCUAAGUUCAUCAUCAAUAUGGUGAUCUCCCAGGAGCGGGAGGUGCAGGACAGGGAUCACCAGGUUGCCUCAGGAGGGGUAAACUGGUCCAGGUUGAAUACAGAGCAGGUCAAAACCCCAGGGCUGAUCAAUACUGGGGUUGCCCUGUGCAUAGCCACUGCACUUCAGCCGGGGCAACAUGGUGACAACCAAAUCUU
rnacentral:SRP_RNA from 1 species